rnacentral:rRNA from 1 species
AAUCAAUGCUGGCGGCGUGCCUAACACAUGCAAGUCGCACGAGAAAGGGACUUCGGUCCUGAGUACAGUGGCGCACGGGUGAGUAACACGUGGAAUCAUCUACCUUCGAGUGGGGAAUAACUGAGAGAAAUCUUAGCUAAUACCGCAUAAUACCUACGGGUCAAAGCAGCAAUGCGCUUGGAAGAGGAGUUCGCGGCAGAUUAGUUAGUUGGCAGGGAAUGGCCUACCAAGACGAUGAUCUGUAUCCGGCCUGAGGAGGGCGCACGGACACACUGGAACUGAAACACGGUCCAGACUCCGUACGGGAGGCAGCAGUGGGGAAUUUUGCGCAAUGGGGGAAACCCUGACGCAGCAACGCCGCGUGG